GAUGAACUAAUUUCCGUCUUAUACAAAGAUAAUAAAGAAAGAAAAAGAAAGACGUAAAAAUAAGAUUCAAACAUUAUUUGCAUACUUCCAAGUUCCAACAAGUUUAUCUAGUUAAUGUUUACGCAUCGGCUACAUCCACAGCGUCGAUUGCAGCUAAGAUUAGCUCUGGCUGAAGAGAUCCAACGGUUGAGGUUCCAUCUAUAGCAUUAGGUCUUCCCAAUGCCUUGAGAGCCAGGUGCGCAGCC
rnacentral:lncRNA from 1 species